rnacentral:lncRNA from 1 species
UCCAAGCGCCUCAUCAUGUGUUACAUGUUCUUGACCUGUGGGGGUGUGAGACAGCAAGAGUGAGCUCACAUACGUUCAUCGCUCAACAAGUUGUGGGGAAUAAUGUGCAUGAACUCGCCAAAGGUGGGAGCUCACGUGAAGUGUAAGGCUUACCAAAGAGGAUGGUUAGAGCUGAGCAUUGCUUUUAGAGUUGGUCAAAAUUUUAUUAGCAAUUACUAAGUAUAAGUAAAUACCAACCCAAUUAAGUAGUAGAACAAAAGUAACAACAUCACCUGCGAUGCAAUGCAUAUGACAAAUUGAAUUUAAGUUCCAUAAAUUAAUCAUGUGAGUGUCCGAGCUGCUCAUGACCGUGAGCACGGCUAGUAUACCAGUUUUACACUCUGCAGAGGUUGCACAUCUUUACCCACAAGUCAUGUUACCCAUCUGCCAAGGGAUCGCGACUUCCCAUACACCUCUGCCGAGGAGGCGAGAUAGGGUAACACUACGAGGCCUUUACAAAGUUCCACUAGCUUCAGAAAACCUGCUACAGUUUAUAGGAAGCUCCAAUGCAGGGACCCCUCGCAUGACCGCCAUCGCAGCAAAAUCAUCCCAAGGACCUCCCCACACUGACCACUCCCCUACUGCCCUUGCCCCUUUCGGGUAAGGUAAUCAUCCACUAGCUUUCCUAGUUAAUCAGCCAAGGGCGUCCAAAAACCCUUGUGGUAGCACUGUUUUCCCGGGUGGUUCUCCAUGUUCCAAUUAACAUAAUGAUCUUAACAUGAACAAUAAAUAACAACUGAUAACAAAAGUAUAAUCAUGAAUAGUGUAAUCUUCAUACCGAAAACCACAUAAAGCAAUAGCAGGUACUACCCAAAAAGUUUAGUGGAGUCAAGGUAUAAAGAUAAUCAAACUAGGGUAACCUAUUGGGUCCCAUCAAAAUUAACCUAUGCAGAUCAUUAUGAUUAAUCAGAACAUGACUCGGUAAAAAGAAGUGAUCAAGGGCACAACUUGCUUGGGACUUGAGAUUCCAAGUACCAGGAUGAUCUUUAGAUUCUCGUGACCUCACUGCUAGUCGUAGCAAUACCAACAAACAUGGUAUAGGCAAAAUUAACAUCACACCAAACAUAUGAACAAAAUACAUAUUACUAAUCUACAUAUUAAAAUAAGAUUAUAGGAACAGGAAUCAUUAAUUUUGGAGUUAUGGAUUUCAAGUUAUGAAUUUCCAAAAGUUCUAGGUGACGGGUACAAAAGAAACUAAGUAUAAAAUUUUAGUUUAGGUUUCAUAAUAAAAUAAAGUUACCAAGCGAUAAACCAUUUCAAUAUGAAUUUAAUGCAACUGGAAUGGGUUAAAAAGGAGCUAAGAUGAAUUUUCUAUAAAUUAUUUAAGUUCUGGAAUUAUUUUGGCACUAGAAAUCCAUUUUCUAAAUUAUUUUCCAUAUUUUCAUAGAGUUCUGGACUGGGCGCAUAAUUAUCCAAUACCGCAGGGGCUAACUCGCAAUAUUUCCCAGACUCAGGCUUACCACGCACUGGACGGCGAGUUUUAUUUUUAAGAAAGCCAGGGGCUCUUAUGCAAAACGCACCGGCCGAAGGGGUAUCGGCCAACGAGCACCGCGCGAUUAGGAUUCUACGGUCAAGAUUAGGCCGAAGCUCCCGUAGGUACCUGAGCCAUAGGAUUAAGGAUCUGCGGUGAGGAUUCCCAUGAUCGGAGUAAUUAUUUGAGGAUCCAAUCCCGCACGCUCGAUUCAGAUUGGACGAACAGCAUCAGUCCCAGCCGAAAGGUUUUCGCCGAUCAAGUCUUCGCCGUCCAUAACGAUCCAAUGGCUGACUUCAUAAUGAUUUAAUCUAUACCGUCAACUACCAGAUCAAUGACACUGAUCCCCAGAUCGAGCUGCCAGGACUGAGAUCAGAUCUCAGCCGUUCAAACCGAGAUCGACGAUCUCCCCCUGUCUUCUUCUCACGAUGGUUAGCAGGCGGCGGCGCUUCUAUCCCCGCGGUGGAGGACCUGCCGGAGUCGGCCAAGCCGCCACCCCAGAGCCAUGCCCCCACAAUCCGAUUGGUCCUACACGGUCUACAGAGGGAGACAAAUCAAUUGAGAAGAUCCCUACCAGGUUUCGUGAAGCAGAUACGGGUGACCGCGCCGAUGUACGAGGCCGCGAUGAUGUGUCUGUCCUCCGAGCAAAUCACUGGGGUUCAGCGAAGUUCUCUACCCAAGAGACCGAGCGAUGGUACGCCAAGGUUCCACCCACGGCGGCGCUACACUUCCCCUGGUUCGACGGUGGAGGUUCUCCGUUCUCCCUCUUUCUAUUUCUG